rnacentral:tRNA from 1 species
UAAAUAUCUAAAUUUAAGUUUAUCAUUUACAAUGAUAAGAUGUUUUAAUAAACUUUAUUUAUUAAUAUUUAUAUAAUUAAUAUUUUAUUUUAUAUUUUU